rnacentral:rRNA from 1 species
CAAUAUAUGGGACCGGCGCACGGGUGCGUAACGCGUAUGCAACCUACCUUUUACAGGGGGAUAGCCCAGAGAAAUUUGGAUUAAUACCCCAUGGUAUAUUUUAGUGGCAUCACUAGAUUAUUAAAGUUCCAACGGUAAAAGAUGGGCAUGCGUCCUAUUAGCUAGAUGGUAAGGUAACGGCUUACCAUGGCUACGAUAGGUAGGGGUCCUGAGAGGGAGAUCCCCCACACUGGUACUGAGACACGGACCAGACUCCUACGGGAGGCAGCAGUGAGGAAUAUUGGACAAUGGGCGCAAGCCUGAUCCAGCCAUGCCGCGUGCAGGAAGAAGCAUCUAUGGUGUGUAAACUGCUUUUGUACAGGAAGAAACACUCCCUCGUGAGGGAGCUUGACGGUACUGUAAGAAUAAGGAUCGGCUAACUCCGUGCCAGCAGCCGCGGUAAUACGGAGGAUCCAAGCGUUAUCCGGAAUCAUUGGGUUUAAAGGGUCCGUAGGCGGUUUGGUAAGUCAGUGGUGAAAGCCCAUCGCUCAACGGUGGAACGGCCAUUGAUACUGCCAGACUUGAAUUACUGGGAAGUAACUAGAAUAUGUAGUGUAGCGGUGAAAUGCUUAGAGAUUACAUGGAAUACCAAUUGCGAAGGCAGGUUACUACCAGUGGAUUGACGCUGAUGGA